AGAGUUUGAUCCUGGCUCAGGAUGAACGCUGGCGGCGUGCUUAACACAUGCAAGUCGAACGAUGAUCCCAGCUUGCUGGGGGAUUAGUGGCGAACGGGUGAGUAACACGUGAGUAACCUGCCCUUGACUCUGGGAUAAGCCUGGGAAACUGGGUCUAAUACCGGAUAUGACUGUCUGACGCAUGUCAGGUGGUGGAAAGCUUUUGUGGUUUUGGAUGGACUCGCGGCCUAUCAGCUUGUUGGUGGGGUAAUGGCCUACCAAGGCGACGACGGGUAGCCGGCCUGAGAGGGUGACCGGCCACACUGGGACUGAGACACGGCCCAGACUCCUACGGGAGGCAGCAGUGGGGAAUAUUGCACAAUGGGCGCAAGCCUGAUGCAGCGACGCCGCGUGAGGGAUGACGGCCUUCGGGUUGUAAACCUCUUUCAGUAGGGAAGAAGCGAAAGAGAACG
rnacentral:rRNA from 1 species